rnacentral:rRNA from 1 species
GACGAACGCUGGCGGCGUGCUUAACACAUGCAAGUCGAACGGAAAGGCCCUGCUUUUGUGGGUUGCUCGAGUGGCGAACGGGUGAGUAACACGUGAGUAACCUGCCCUUGACUUUGGGAUAACUCCAGGAAACUGGGGCUAAUACCGGAUAGGAGCUCCUGCUGCAUGGUGGGGGUUGGAAAGUUUCGGCCGUUGGGGAUGUACUCGCGGCUUAUCAGCUUGUUGGGGGGGUAGUGGCUUACCAAGGCUUUGAGGGGUAGCCGGCCUGAGAGGGUGACCGGGCACAUGGGGACUGAGAGACGGCCCAGAAGCCUACGGGAGGCAGUAGGGGAGAAUAUGGCACAACGGGGGGAAGCCUGUGACAGCAGCGCCGGGUGCGGGAAGACGGGUUUCGGGUGGUAAACCGCUUUGGCCUGUGACGAAGCGUGAGUGACGGUAAUGGGUAAAGAAGCACCGGCUAACUACGUG